UAAAGGAAAGGAGAGAAGGGCACAUGAAGGAUGCCUUGGCUCUCGGAGGCGAAGAAGGACGUGAUAAGCUGCGAUAAGCCGCGUGUAGAGGCAAAUACUCAUUGAUACGCGGAUUUCCGAAUGGGGCAACCCACCGUUAGCGAUAACGGUACCUCACCGAGUGAGGGGCGAACCCGGGGAACUGAAACAUCUCAUUACCCGGAGGAGAAGAAAACAAAAGUGAUUGCGCAAGUAGUGGCGAGCGAACGCGCAGGAGCCCAAACCGAGGAUGUAGCAAUGCAUCACUCGGGGUUGUAGGACCGUCGGUGCGCCGACAGCGAAUGUUAGGGGAAGCUUCUGGAAAGGAGCGCCAUAGGAGGUGAAAGCCCUGUACCCGAAAACAUGAACUGCAGGCAAGACGGCACCUGAGUAAGCCGGGACACGAGAAAUCCUGGCCGAACCCGCGGGGACCAUCCCGUAAGGCUAAAUACUACCGAGAGACCGAUAGCGAACCAGUACCGUGAGGGAAAGGUGAAAAGAACCUCGAACAGAGGAGUGAAAAAGACCCUGAAAUCAUGUGCCUACAAGCGGUCGGAGCCACUUUGUGUGGUGACGGCGUGCCUUUUGCAUAAUGAACCUACGAGUCACCGUCUUUGGCGAGGCUAAGUGCCGCAAGACACGGAGCCGAAGCGAAAGCGAGUCCGAACAGGGCGAUUACAGUCAGAGGCGGUGGACGCGAAACCAAGUGAUCUACCCUUGGGCAGGUUGAAGGACAGGUAACACUGUCUGGAGGACCGAACCGGUAAGCGUUGAAAAGCUUUCGGAUGACCUGAGGGUAGGAGUGAAAGGCCAAUCAAACUUGGAGAUAGCUCGUACUCCCCGAAAUGCAUUUAGGUGCAGCCUCGGGAAGCAGUGUCGCGGAGGUAGAGCGACUGAUAGGAUGCGAGGGCUUCACCGCCUAUCAAGUCCUGACAAACUCCGAAUGCCGCGACAUGAUGCCCGGGAGUGAGGGCGCGGGUGCUAAGGUCCGCGUCCGAGAGAGGAACAACUCAGACCACCGGCUAAGGCCCCCAAGUGCGGGCUAAGUUGAAGCCAAUAACGAGGUGGGAUUGCAUAGACAGCUAGGAUGUUGGCUUGGAAGCAGCCAUUCAUUUAAAGAGUGCGUAACAGCUCACUAGUCGAGUGAUCCCGCAUGGAUAAUAAUCGGGCAUAAGCCCGCCGCCGAAGCCGUGGAAUAGAAUUUUAGGAUUUUAUUGGUAGGGGAGCAUUCCGUGAGCCGUCGAAGGUGAGGCGCGAGCCUUGCUGGAGGCAACGGAAAAGCAAAUGUAGGUAUAAGUAACGAUAAGGAGGGCGAGAAACCCUCCCGCCUAAAGACCAAGGGUUCCUGAUCAACGCUAAUCGGAUCAGGGUAAGUCGGGGCCUAAGGAGAAGCCGCAAGGCGCAUCCGAUGGAUAAACGGUAAAAAUUCCGUUACCCGCAACAUGAGCGACGUGGCGACGGAGGAGUGACACAUCCGCGUGCUGACGGAAUAGCACGUUGAACCGCGUAGGUAAAUCAGAGGCAGGCAAAUCCACCUCAGAUGCCGAAACGGGAUAGUACGGAGAGCCCCCGGGCAAUCCGAUAGCGAUGGUAACCAUACUCCCAAGAAAACCCGCUAAGCAUAUUGUGUUGCGGCCCGUACCCUAAACCGACACAGGUGGUCGAGUAGAGAAUACUGAGGCGCUCGAGAGAUUCACGGUUAAGGAACUAGGCAAAUUGACCCCGUAACUUCGGGAAAAGGGGUCCCUGCGAAAGCAGGGCGCAGAGAAUAGGUCCAGGCAACUGUUUAACAAAAACACAGGGCUGUGCAAAAUUUAAAGAUGAAGUAUACAGCCUGACACCUGCCCGGUGCCGGAAGGUUAAGAGGAGGCGUCAUCGCAAGAGAAGCGCUGAAUUGAAGCCCCGGUAAACGGCGGCCGUAACUAUAACGGUCCUAAGGUAGCGAAAUUCCUUGUCGGGUAAGUUCCGACCUGCACGAAUGGUGUAAUGAUCCGGACACUGUCUCAACCGUGAGCUCGGUGAAAUUGUAGUAUCGGUGAAGAUGCCGAUUACCCGCAACGGGACGGAAAGACCCCGUGAACCUUUACUGCAGCUUAGCACUGGGACCGGGUGCUCGAUGUGUAGGAUAGUCAGGAGACAGCGAAGCAGUCACGCCAGUGAUUGUGGAGUCGACGUUGAAAUACUGACCUUCGCGCAUCUGGUUCCUAACGCGCAGGAAGCGCGGACACUGCUUGGUGGGUAGUUUGACUGGGGUGGUCGCCUCCAAAAGAGUAACGGAGGCUUCUAAAGGUGCGCUCAGGCCGAUUGGUAACCGGCCGUAGAGUGUAAUGGCACAAGCGCGCUUGACUGGGAGGCCGACAAGCCGAACAGGUAGGAAACUAGAGCAUAGUGAUCCGGUGGUUCCGUAUGGAAGGGCCAUCGCUCAAAGGAUAAAAGGUACUCCGGGGAUAACAGGCUGAUCCCUCCCAAGAGCUCAUAUCGACGGAGUGGUUUGGCACCUCGAUGUCGGCUCGUCACAUCCCGGGGCUGGAGAAGGUCCCAAGGGUUAGGCUGUUCGCCUAUUAAAGUGGCACGCGAGCUGGGUUCAGAACGUCGUGAGACAGUUCGGUCCCUAUCUGUUGUGGGCGCAGGAGAUUUGCGGGGACCCGACACUAGUACGAGAGGACCGUGUUGGACAGACCUCCGGUGUUCCGGUUGUACCGCCAGGUGCACCGCCGGGUAGCCGCGUCUGGCAAGGAUAAGUGCUGAAAGCAUCUAAGCACGAAGCCCCCCCCAAGAUAAGAUCUCCAUAUAAGGGUCGUUGCAGACUACGACGUCGAUAGGCCGCAGGUGUAAAGACGGUAACGUCAAAGCCGAGCGGUACUAAUCACCCAAACCCUUUCCGGGACGUAAGUCCC
rnacentral:rRNA from 1 species